AAGUCGUAACAAGGUCUCCGUUGGUGAACCAGCGGAGGGAUCAUUACCGAGUUUUCAACUCACCAACCCAUUGUGAACUUAUUCUUGCUUCGGCGGGGGGCCUCGCGCCCGCCGCCGGGGGACCCAAAACUCUGUUUCUACGAAUCUCUGAGUAAAAAACAAAUAAAUCAAAACCUUUAACAACGGAUCUCUUGGCUCUGGCAUCGAUGAAGAACGCAGCGAAAUGCGAAAAGUAAUGUGAAUUGCAGAAUUCAGUGAAUCAUCGAAUCUUUGAACGCACAUUGCGCCCGCUGGUACUCCGGCGGGCAUGCCUGUCCGAGCGUCAUUUCAACCCUCAGGUCCCCCUUCCGGGGGCGGACCUGGUGCUGGGGCUCGGCCGUCCUCGUGGCGGCCGUCCCUUAAAUCCAGUGGCGGUCACGCCGUGAUCCCUUGCGUAGUACUACACCUCGCACCGGAGAGCGACGCGGCCCGCCGUAAAACACCCAAUUUUUCAAUGGUUGACCUCGGAUCAGGUAGGAAUACCCGCUGAACUUAAGCAUAUCAAUAAGCGGAGGAAAAGAAACCAACAGGGAUUGCCUUAGUAACGGCGAGUGAAGCGGCAACAGCUCAAAUUUGAAAUCUGGCCCUCGGGUCCGAGUUGUAAUUUGUAGAGGAUGCUUUUGGCAACGUGCUUUCCGAGUCCCCUGGAACGGGGCGCCAUAGAGGGUGAGAGCCCCGUCUGGUUACGCACCUAGCCUCUGUAAAGCUCCUUCGACGAGUCGAGUAGUUUGGGAAUGCUGCUCUAAAUGGGAGGUGUAUGUCUUCUAAAGCUAAAUACCGGCCAGAGACCGAUAGCGCACAAGUAGAGUGAUCGAAAGAUGAAAAGUACUCUGAAGAGAGAGUUAAAUAGCACGUGAAAUUGUUAAAGGGGAAGCGUUUAUGACCAGACUUGGGGCAGGUUGAUCAUCUGGCGUUCUCGCCAGUGCACUCGGCCGGCUCUAGGCCAGCAUCAGUUUGCGCCGGGGGAUAAAGGCUUCGGGAACGUAUCUCCCCCCGGGGAGUGUUAUAGACCGUUGCGUAAUACCCUGGUGCGGACUGAGGAACGCGCUUUAUGCACGGAUGCUGGCGUAAUGGUCACCAACGACC
rnacentral:rRNA from 1 species